GACCUAAUGGCGAAACGGUAUCGCGUCCGCAGUUUGUAAAAUGUUACUAGCCAAGUUCUGCGGAGGUCCCUGGUUCGACUCUAGGUUAGGUCA